CCAGAGAAUUUAGCAGAGAUGCUUUAGUGCCUUCGGGAACUCUGAGACAGGUGCUGCAUGGCUGUCGUCAGCUCGUGUUGUGAAAUGUUGGGUUAAGUCCCGCAACGAGCGCAACCCUUAUCCUUUGUUGCCAGCACGUAAUGGUGGGAACUCAAAGGAGACUGCCGGUGAUAAACCGGAGGAAGGUGGGGAUGACGUCAAGUCAUCAUGGCCCUUACGAGCAGGGCUACACACGUGCUACAAUGGCGCAUACAAAGAGAAGCGACCUCGCGAGAGCAAGCGGACCUCAUAAAGUGCGUCGUAGUCCGGAUUGGAGUCUGCAACUCGACUCCAUGAAGUCGGAAUCGCUAGUAAUCGUAAAUCAGAAUGUUACGGUGAAUACGUUCCCGGGCCUUGUACACACCGCCCGUCACACCAUGGGAGUGGGUUGCAAAAGAAGUAGAUAGCUUAACCUUCGGGAGGGCGUUUACCACUUUGUGAUUCAUGACUGGGGUGAAGUCGUAACAAGGUAGGCGUAGUGCU
rnacentral:rRNA from 1 species